rnacentral:rRNA from 1 species
UACGUAGGGCGCAAGCGUUAUCCGGAUUUAUUGGGCGUAAAGAGCUCGUAGGCGGUUUGUCGCGUCUGCCGUGAAAGUCCGAGGCUCAACCUCGGAUCUGCGGUGGGUACGGGCAGACUAGAGUGAUGUAGGGGAGACUGGAAUUCCUGGUGUAGCGGUGAAAUGCGCAGAUAUCAGGAGGAACACCGAUGGCGAAGGCAGGUCUCUGGGCAUUUACUGACGCUGAGGAGCGAAAGCAUGGGGAGCGAACAGGAUUAGAUACCCUGGUAGUCCAUGCCGUAAACGUUGGGCACUAGGUGUGGGGGACAUUCCACGUUUUCCGCGCCGUAGCUAACGCAUUAAGUGCCCCGCCUGGGGAGUACGGCCGCAAGGCUAAA